rnacentral:rRNA from 1 species
AUGCACUUCAGCUCGGGCCGGCCCGGCGGCUCGGUCGGCGCAAGCUGCAUACCGCGGGAGCGGGACGCCCUGCUGUCCUUCAAGCGCGGCAUCACCAGCGACCCCAUGGGUGUUCUUGACUCUUGGCACAAGAAAGACUGCUGUCAGUGGAGGGGCGUCAAGUGCAGCAACCGGACCAGCCAUGUCCUUAGGCUUCAUCUUCGUAAUCUGUCUCCAGAGACAGGUUUGGUUGGCGAGAUAAGUAAUUCUUUGCUGUCCAUGGAUCGUCUAGUGCACCUUGAUCUUAGCAUGAAUUAUCUCGAGGGCCCAAGUGGCCGCAUGCCAGAGUUCUUGGGCUCUUUGACGAGAUUGAGAUAUCUCAACCUCUCCGGCAUACCAUUUUCUGGCAGAGUACUCCCUCAGCUCGGCAACCUCUCAAACCUUCAGCAUCUUGACCUCUCAGGCCAAUCAUACCCAUAUAUGUACUCAAAAGAUAUUUCAUGGGUAGCACGCAUCCCUAAUUUGCAGUAUCUUGGAAUGAAUUCAGUAAACCUCGGCACGAUAGUUGAUUGCCCUUAUGUUGUCAACAUGAUUCCUUCUUUGAAGGCCCUCAAUCUUCGGUCUUGCUCUCUUCCAACUGCAAAUCAGUCGCUCCCACAUAUUAACCUUACCAAACUCGAGAGGCUUGAUCUCUCCGGUAACAUCUUUGCACACCCGAUGGCAAGGGGUUGGUUUUGGAAUUUGACAGGCCUCCAGCAUCUCUACCUUGCCGGAACUAAACUAUACGGUCAAGCUCCUGAUGCACUGGCACAUAUGACAUCCCUUGAAGUCAUUGAUUUGUCAUUUAAUCGUAACAUGGGGACGAUGACUACAAGCUUCAAAAACCUAUGCAGUCUGAAAAUUCUGGACCUUUCUUGGUGUCAAAUUGUUGGAAAUAUAAAGGAUAUUAUAGGGAGGAUGCCACAGUGUCCCUUGAACAAACUGCAAGUGUUGCGUUUGGGCUACAACAAUAUCAGCGGAAACAUGCCGGAUCAGACAGCACACUUGACCACCUUAGUCGUUCUUGAUAUCUCUGUGAACAACCUAAAUGGAGGCAUACCGCACGGGGUGGGGCUUCUCUUUAGUUUAAGCAGACUUGAUCUCUCUUCCAACAAUCUCAGUGGACCUGUGCCAUCUGAGAUCGGCAUGCUCGGCAACUUGACCAUGAUGAAUCUUGAAGGCAACAACUUGACUGGUAACUUCACUGAAGAACAUUUUGCAAGUCUAACAAGGUUAAAGGAGUUGUAUUUAGAUGGGAAUUCCUUGAGGAUUACAGUUGGUCCCGAUUGGAUACCACCUUUCAGUUUAGAAGAAGCAGCUCUUGGCUCUUGCCAGCUAGGCCCUUCGUUUCCUGCAUGGCUUCAGUUCCAAGUGGACAUUCGCUGA